CUGAAAGACUGUUACUAAAACCAAGGAACAGCUGCAGAGAGUGGAGACCCAGCAAAGCAGACAAAUGAAUACUGUGAAUAAAUAACCUGAAAGCAAAUGGGGAAGAAAACCUCCUCUGGGUAAUUGUGGCUCUUGGGACCAAAAUCAGGUUCCUGGGAAAGGAUCCCCAAAGGAGGUGUAAGGAUCCGGGACUCUAGUGUCUGCCAGAAGCUUCAGCCACCUUCACAGGUUAGAGCUCGCCCUCCAUUGCGGAGGUGAAGACCAGAUGGGAGCUGCUGG